CGGGGGGCAGCAGUGGGGAAUUUUGGACAAUGGGCGCAAGCCUGAUCCAGCCAUUCCGCGUGAGUGAAGAAGGCCUUCGGGUUGUAAAGCUCUUUCGGCAGGGAAGAAACGGUUUAGGCUAAUACCCUGAGCUAAUGACGGUACCUGAAGAAGAAGCACCGGCUAACUACGUGCCAGCAGCCGCGGUAAUACGUAGGGUGCGAGCGUUAAUCGGAAUUACUGGGCGUAAAGCGUGCGCAGGCGGUUUUGUAAGACAGAUGUGAAAUCCCCGGGCUUAACCUGGGAACUGCGUUUGUGACUGCAAGACUUGAGUACGGCAGAGGGGGGUGGAAUUCCACGUGUAGCAGUGAAAUGCGUAGAGAUGUGGAGGAACACCGAUGGCGAAGGCAGCCCCCUGGGUCGAUACUGACGCUCAUGCACGAAAGCGUGGGGAGCAAACAGGAUUAGAUACCCGAGU
rnacentral:rRNA from 1 species